rnacentral:rRNA from 1 species
UACGAAGGGGGGCUAGCGUUGCUCGGAAUCACUGGGCGUAAAGGGUGCGUAGGCGGGUUUUUAAGUCAGGGGUGAAAUCUUGGAGCUCAACUCCAGAACUGCCUUUGAUACUGAAGAUCUUGAGUCCGGGAGAGGUGAGUGGAACUGCGAGUGUAGAGGUGAAAUUCGUAGAUAUUCGCAAGAACACCAGUGGCGAAGGCGGCUCACUGGCCCGGAACUGACGCUGAGGUGCGAAAGCGUGGGGAGCAAACAGG